UUUUUAGUAUAAGUAUGUCCUAUGCAAUAUUGGGGACAUAUUGAUGCUAAAA
rnacentral:pre_miRNA from 1 species